rnacentral:rRNA from 1 species
UACGUAGGGUGCGAGCGUUGUCCGGAUUUAUUGGGCGUAAAGAGCUUGUAGGCGGCUCGUCACGUCGGGUGUGAAAACUCGCGGCUCAACCGCGAGCCUGCACCCGAUACGGGCGGGCUAGAGUUCGGCAGGGGAGACUGGAAUUCCUGGUGUAGCGGUGGAAUGCGCAGAUAUCGGGAGGAACACCAGUGGCGAAGGCGGCUUCCUGGACCUGAUCUGACGCUGAGGAGCGAAAGCGUGGGGAGCGAUCCGG